rnacentral:rRNA from 1 species
CCCGGGCCUUGUACACACCGCCCGUCACACCACGAAAGUCGGCAAUACCCGAAGCCGGUGGGCUAAACCCGCAAAGGGGAGGCAGCCGUCGAAGGUAGGGUCAAUGAUUGGGGUG